CCUACGGGUGACAGCAGUGGGGAAUAUUGCGCAAUGGGCGAAAGCCUGACGCAGCGACGCCGCGUGAGGGAUGAAGGUCUUCGGAUCGUAAACCUCUGUCAGCAGGGAAGAACGGACACUGUGCUAAUCAGCAGUGAAUUGACGGUACCUGCAAAGGAAGCACCGGCUAACUCCGUGCCAGCAGCCGCGGUAAUACGGAGGGUGCGAGCGUUAAUCGGAAUUACUGGGCGUAAAGCGCUCGUAGGCGGUAUGUCAAGUCAAGGGUGAAAUCCCCGCGCUCAACGUGGGAACUACCUUUGAAACUGGCAAACUGGAGUGUGUGAGAGGAUAGUGGAAUUCCAGGUGUAGGAGUGAAAUGCGUAGAUAUCUGGAGGAACAUCAGUGGCGAAGGCGACUAUCUGGCACAUAACUGACGCUGAGGAGCGAAAGCGUGGGUAGCAAACAGGAUUAGAUACCCUUGUAGUC
rnacentral:rRNA from 1 species